AUCCAUUGUCCCUCUCGGUGGGUUACUCCCACAGAGCUUAAAUCUGGGACUUUCCACCAUUUUACCCUAGAACUGAAGAAGCUUCUCGGAUCAGAGGUGAAACGUCUUCAAGCCACUUAAAGAAGUCCAGACGCUUUUCUUUCCAAGCUCCUUAGACUGUAACCACAUAACGUCCUUAACGAUGAAUAAAAUAUUCAGCUUCUGACAUAACUGCAUUGGGUGAAAAAAAAUAAUAAAAUAAAACGCUUUUAUUCUGAAGGGCAUAUAUUGGUUCCUGUCAAGUGAACGAGAAGAGAGAAAGUUUCGUCUCAUUUUUUAACCCUCUUGUGAUAAAGAGCUGGCCAAUGGUAAGUGAGCGACACAUCUUUCUUUCACCAAUUAACAAGCUAAACGUUUAUUGAGGUCUAUAUUUUUUAUCGUAAAACAUUAAGCUUUGCAUAUAAAUCAAAACCUGCUAUUAUCUGGAUUGAUGUUUGAAACUAACGGACAUUUCAGGGCGAAGGUUGCAGCUGGGGUAGACAACCUAGCUACCAAACAACAACCAAAACACAUUAAAUUCUGCUCUAGAUGACCGGACUCAUUCGAUUUUACAAAUUGAUUUAUUUUGCGGUUUAAAAUAGGCGUUUGAGGUGUUGUACGCGAGCAGGACCGGCCCACAUUAUGGCCGGGAAAUCUGCUACGCAGCCGAGUUGUCCCACCAUCACCUGGGGAUGAUGGAACAGCAGCCUGGGUCUAAUGUGCCUCCGUUACGGCCUCGGUUCAGCAACCCCCUCCACCCCCUCCACCCCCUCCACCUGUUACUUUGUCUUCUGGAAAGCCUCCAUCUUUACCGUGCCCUCAGCAUGCUGCAAUACCAAUACUUCCUGAAUAUCCUCCAGUUCAGGAGACAAGUGGAUCAUCGCAGGCAAAUUUCUCAGAGAAUGGAUCAUCUCCACCCAUGCAAAAUGGAUUACACUUUCCACCAUCGCAAGACAAUGCAGGGCCUGAGCUGUCAGAUGGUGAUGAAGAAAAUAAGCACCUCCCAGUGCAGGAAACAGACCCUGCACCGCAGACGUUAGCCCAACAGAGUUCUGGAUCCAGGGUGCCCGAUGAAGCUGACGCUCAGGCAGGUGAGAAUGGAGAGGAGCGCAUGCCCUGAGGAGCUUCAGUUACUUGCUGAUACUUGAAAUUUCAAGCAGUUGGGAUCAUUUGAAUGUCAUUAUAUUGCAGUGAACUUCUACUUUGUCUUUUUAAUUUUAGCUAGGCUCUACGAAGCGCUUUGCUAUGUGUUUCUCAUUCAGUCAUAAAAACGUGUACGUCAUGAAGUUCAUGCCUUGCUUAUGGAAUUUGCACAUAGUUGAACUACUAGCUAUUAGAGACAAUCCACUUACCUACCUUAGCCACUCCUGAACAAGCCAAAGUACAUUAAAAUCAUUAAAGUACCUCAGUGACCUUGACCUCAAGGUCAGAGGCCAAGUUUUCUGAAAAUCUGGUGAAUACAAUAACCAAAGAAGAAAGUAAUGAUUUUCAAAUCUAUACUAUAGGUGCAUCUACUAGGAGGCUGAGGGUAGCAUUAGCGGCCAUAAAUAUUUUUUCCAUUAUUUUUAAUUUAUUGAAUAUGAGGAAAGAAAAUGUCUAACUUUUUCCCCAGUUUACCUUUCACAGGCAGGGAUAUAUUAUUGGUUGAAGUAAGGAAAAUAUUUUGAAACUUGAUCAAAUCGAUGCCAAAUCAUAGGAGUUUAUGAUUCAUAAUUCUAAAGUCAUUUUAAUUUAUUUAUGAUCUUAAAUCUUUGAAGUGAUCAAGCAGUCAUCUGAUGCCUCGUGCUCUUUGGCACUGUAACCGGUAAGAAGUGCACUAUUGCCAUGUAGG